rnacentral:rRNA from 1 species
GAGUUUGCUCCUGGCUCAGGAUGAACGCUAGCGGCAGGCUUAACACAUGCAAGUCGAGGGGCAUCACGGGUAGCAAUACCUGGUGGCGACCGGCGCAAGGGUGCGUAACGCGUGAGCAACAUACCUGUAACAGGAGGAUAACCCGUUGAAAGACGGACUAAUAUUCCAUAAGACUUUUCGGUGGCAUCAUCGGGGAGUAAAAGUUUCGAUGGUUACAGAUUGGCUCGCGUGACAUUAGUUAGUUGGUAAGGUAACGGCUUACCAAGACAUCGAUGUCUAGGGGUUCUGAGAGGAAGAUCCCCCACACUGGGACUGAGACACGGCCCAGACUCCUACGGGAGGCAGCAGUGAGGAAUAUUGGACAAUGGGCGGAAGCCUGAUCCAGCCAUGCCGCGUGCAGGAAGAAGGUCCUAUGGAUUGUAAACUGCUUUUGUAUGGGAGCAAUAAUGGUUACGUGUAAUCAGAUGAGAGUACUAUACGAAUAAGCAUCGGCUAACUCCGUGCCAGCAGCCGCGGUAAUACGGAGGAUGCGAGCGUUAUCCGGAUUUAUUGGGUUUAAAGGGUGCGUAGGCGGCUAUAUAAGUCAGCGGUGAAAUUUUGCAGCUUAACUGUAAACAUGCCGUUGAUACUGUGUAGCUAG